GCUGGGCGUGGUGGUGUAUGUCUGUAAUCCCAGCUACUUGGGAGGCUGAGGCAGGAGAAUCGCUUGAACCUGGGAGGCAGAGGUUGCAGUGAGCCAAGAUCACGCCACUGUACUCCAGCCCAGGCAACAGAGCGAGACUCUGUCUCAA
rnacentral:SRP_RNA from 1 species